rnacentral:sRNA from 1 species
GUCUCAGGAAGGCUAUGGAACUAGAACUCAACCUCCUCUGGCCCCCGGAAAACCUAACCAUGAAGACUUGAACUUAAUACAACAAGAAAGACCAUCAAGUUUACCAGUUGAAGUCUUGGCCUCGGAGGAUGCAGCCUUUGGACUCAAGGAUCUGUCUGGCUCCAUUGAUGACCUCCCCACGGGAACGGAAGCAACUUUGAGCUCAGCAGUCAGCGCAUCCGGGUCCACGAGCAGCCAAGGGGAUCAGAGCAACCCGGCGCAGUCGCCUUUCUCCCCACAUGCGUCCCCUCAUCUCUCCAGCAUCCCGGGGGGCCCAUCUCCCUCUCCUGUUGGCUCUCCUGUAGGAAGCAACCAGUCUCGAUCUGGCCCAAUCUCUCCUGCAAGUAUCCCAGGUAGUCAGAUGCCUCCGCAGCCACCGGGGAGCCAGUCAGAAUCCAGUUCCCAUCCUGCCUUGAGCCAGUCACCAAUGCCACAGGAAAGAGGUUUUAUGGCAGGCACACAAAGAAACCCUCAGAUGGCUCAGUAUGGACCUCAACAGACAGGACCAUCCAUGUCGCCUCAUCCUUCUCCCGGGGGCCAGAUGCAUGCUGGAAUCAGUAGCUUUCAGCAGAGUAACUCAAGUGGGACUUACGGUCCACAGAUGAGCCAGUAUGGACCACAAGGUAACUACUCCAGACCCCCAGCGUAUAGUGGGGUGCCCAGUGCAAGCUACAGCGGCCCAGGGCCCGGUAUGGGUAUCAGUGCCAACAACCAGAUGCAUGGACAAGGGCCAAGCCAGCCAUGUGGUGCUGUGCCCCUGGGACGAAUGCCAUCAGCUGGGAUGCAGAACAGACCAUUUCCUGGAAAUAUGAGCAGCAUGACCCCCAGUUCUCCUGGCAUGUCUCAGCAGGGAGGGCCAGGAAUGGGGCCGCCAAUGCCAACUGUGAACCGUAAGGCACAGGAGGCAGCCGCAGCAGUGAUGCAGGCUGCUGCGAACUCAGCACAAAGCAGGUACGCCACCCAGGAGCACGCCCCGGGCAGGUACGCUGUGUGUCUACCCGUGACCACGUGACUGCGCACAUAGCUGCAUUGUUCCCUGGGGUCACACAGAGCAGUAGAAUGUCACUGUGCUUGGCCGUUCUUUUUGUGUUAAUAUAUUCUGUAGCAUCAAGGUCAGAGAACUAAGUGACAAACCAUGUUUUAUGAUACAUGAGGAAGGAAUGUGAGCAGUGGGCAUAUCAGUCGUGGGAGGUGAUUGGAAAUGCCUGUGAAUAGUCAUUGCAGCAGCAAACCAGAUCUGGUUGCACAGGGAAGUGUCUGCGUGGUACCAAUUGAAGCAGUGACUUUUAAGCAGGAAAUACUAAAGCUUAGGAACGAUUUAAAAUCUAAAACAUUGAAAAGGAACACACUCCCCAUCUUUUUUUCACCCUACCUCAAGAAUCUUCAUAAAAUACAAACUUUGUAUGUAUAUAUACGUGUAUUGUGUGUUUGUCUAAACGUAUAUGUGUGAGAUUUAGAUACUUGACAUUCUUACGUUAUAUUUUAUUUUUCCAGGCAUAUCUAUCUGUCCAAACCAAAAUGUGGUUUAAAAAGCAAAUAUAAUAUUUUAGAAAGUUUGAGUUGAUAAAAGGCUUUAGCUACAAUUACUUACUCAUUUUUAAUCCCGACUUAAAAAUUAAUUUUGAAGUAAAUACUUGACCUGGAUAAAAAUAACAUAAUUAAAAAUUUAUAAGGCAAAGGUGAAUAUGUUUUAAAAGCACAUGUAAAUAUGUUUUUAAGUAAAGUACUUUGAAAGAUGUGUAUCUUAAUGGUAUCUUCAGAAGCAAAGGUAGAAGAUUCCGAUUUUUGUCAAAGGGAAGCAAAAGCUAAGGUGUGUGUGCGUGUGUGCGUGUGUGUGCGUGUGUUUUUAAAUGUGUCUUUUGUUACUUUUCCUCUGAAGCUGCUAUCUGGGGAAUGUGGGACCCCUCCAGUUUUAUUGUUUUCUCCAAAUAAUAAUAAAUUUCCCUUGAGGAAAUAAAAUGAAAAUCAAUCAUUAUCUUUCUUUCUGUCUCCACAUUACGAUUACUUAAAAUCUUCUGAACUCCAGCAGUCUAGCCCUCUGCCGAACCUACACAGGCUUUAGGGAAUGUUUUUGUAAACCUGUUUGUGAAAACUGGUUUGGCUGUUCAAAUUGAAGUUCUUCUAAUUCAAAUUUAAAUGAAUUGUCCAUUGUUGCAACUCAUAAAGCACCAGUUAUUUUCUUUUUUUAAGUAGAAAGUAUUUGAUUGCAUUUUGGCACGCAGCCUUUGGGAGGAACCUCAGAAGAUAACCAGAGAGAGCCAGGCCUGAUUUUGUGUGGUUACAAAGCCAUGCGUGCCCCCUUUCUGAGUCAGUGUUUAUAUCAUCCUGUAGUAAUCAAUAUAUAAAUACACAUCCAUGCAUUGCCAUUUUCUGUUUCUAAUGCGUAGACCCUUCCAAAGCCUUGCCUUCAACUUACUGCCCAUUUUAGCUCACCAGGAGUUUAAAUGGGGGCUGUAUAUCUUCUUGUUUGCUUUUACCAAAGUCAAAGCUGUACUUUAAAAUGGUAAAUGGAGAUUAGAAUUGAGAAUCUUACUUUUCUCUGCCUGUCCCCACCCUUUUGUUAGAGGCAUUUUCUGUACCCCCCACCCCUCAGGCAGUGGCAGGAUGCAGGGUAUUCAACUUGCCUCCAUGGUCUGUAAGCCCCACACCUACAUGUGGGGGUGACAGAUAUACAGGGCUUCAUGCUUGUGCAUCAGAACAAAUCCCAAGAAGCUGUUCUUCUGUUCCACUUUAGGCCACCAUACAUUAGGUCGCCUGCUUAUCCCAGCCAGUCUGGGGCUGGCGGACGCCCCAUGUUUUCUUCCCAGCACCCCAACUAUGGCAACUCUCAGGCUCCCAUGGUGCACCAGCCUGACCAGUACGGGUAGGUAGCAACACACCCCGACUUGCUGCGGGACCUGGGCGUUUUCUCUGAAACUGUUAAUGAUCGUGCCGUCUGGCCACGAAAGGAACACCCAAACCAAGAAAGCGAAACACCUAACAGAAAAUCCAUCUCCGAGGGGGUUGUCCUUCUGUCCAUUUUUGUUGGUGUGUUUGUUUCGUUUUCCUUUCGUAUUAACAGUACUGUGGCCGUUCGGUGGAAACCCGCAUGCAUCCUCAGGCCCUGUCUGUGCAUGGCUUUCGGCAUGGCUGCUUUCCUUCAUGCCUGAGAGGGAAAUAGAAACUUUGAUCUGUGUCGAAGACAUGAUGUCACCAACUCUGGCGUCAUUUCCCCCGUUGUUGUCGUUUUGUCUAGGAACCUGUGUUGUGCAGCGCUGUUCUCAUGACUAUAUUAUCACUCCUGCUGCUACAGUGAGCGGCUGCCAUACCCACCCCCAAAUUAAGAGCACAGCAUCUCAUUUGACAAGAGACUCACUGCAGUUGAGCUGACAGGCUAUUCAUAGGACUUAGGAGGGGUUUCAUUAUAUCACCACCAAGCAAAUGUCUGUGCCAAAGACUUCUAUUAUUUUUUCUCCAGCGAGUAUCAGAAUAUUGAAGUCACCAGGAAAAUACAACAAAAUAAUCCAACAGAUAAUUUUCUCUCUAAACACAGUGUUGCCAUAUUAUUCUCAAUUUCAACACAGGAAUUACAUACAGCAACAAAAAGUAUCUCUUCUUUCCUACUACAAAACUAUGUAAUAUCAGGUUCUGUCACCAUGUUUACGUUAGUAAAUGCUCUUAAAGUCUAUUACUAUUGAGUGAAUUACUAAAAAAAAAAUUAUUGCUAUCAUCCUGGGCAGACUUAAUCAUGUUUGGUAGUUAGUUUUAGUAGAGACAUGCCUCAUCUUUGGUUAAAAUCAAACAGGGAACUAUCACCUAGCUUUGUUUAAACAGUAAACUUAUAGAACUAUGCUUUCACUACUGGUUAUGAAUGCCUGACAGAGCUUUUUAGGAGUUUUAUAUUCAGUUUACAUUUAUUUAGACAGAACAAAUGAUAAUUUUGGAAUCGAGAGUUCUAAAGUCUGUAAACAUGGCCUUAAAUGUAGACCAACAAAUAUAGAAUCCUGUAAACAUCAUCCCCAAAGUGAAAUAACAAAUAUAGAAUGAGGUGAACAUGCUUAUUCUUGGGAAAUUGUCUUUUCCUCUUUGUUACUUUCUUGUGGUACCUUCAAGGUCAAUUCAUGAGUCAGUAGAAAGAUAACAGUCGGAGGAAGCAAGCAUUCAUCAUCUGCAGCUAAUCCAUAGGAUCUGUCCUUUUACCAACUCCGGAGGCCUCUUUAGACCCACAAAGCUAGUUUGGCUGUGCCUUGCCAAGCCACAUUAAGCAGCUGUGUAAAAUGAAUUUAAAUGGCAUGCAUCAGAGUGAAAUCUCUUCCACUGGGGCAGAAAAUCGAUGUUAGCUAACCAGUACGAGGAGAUCAAAUCUGUAUUUCAGCCAGCAGCAUCCAGAUAGCUUCCUUAGAGUACAACACCUCCUCCUUAAUUAAAAAU